rnacentral:rRNA from 1 species
AGCGUAGACGGUGUGGCAAGUCUGAUGUGAAAGGCAUGGGCUCAACCUGUGGACUGCAUUGGAAACUGUCAUACUUGAGUGCCGGAGGGGUAAGCGGAAUUCCUAGUGUAGCGGUGAAAUGCGUAGAUAUUAGGAGGAACACCAGUGGCGAAGGCGGCUUACUGGACGGUAACUGACGUUGAGGCUCGAAAGCGUGGGGAGGCAAACA